GAUGAACGCUAGCGGCAGGCUUAAUACAUGCAAGUCGAGGGGUAGCAAGAUUGUAGCAAUACAAUUGUUGACGACCGGCAAACGGGUGCGGAACACGUACACAACCUUCCUACAAGUGGGGAAUAGCCCAGAGAAAUUUGGAUUAAUACCCCGUAACAUAGCGAUGUGGCAUCACAUUGCUAUUAUAGCUUCGGCGCUUGUUGAUGGGUGUGCGGCUGAUUAGAUAGUUGGCGGGGUAACGGCCCACCAAGUCUACGAUCAGUAGCUGAUGUGAGAGCAUGAUCAGCCACACGGGCACUGAGACACGGGCCCGACUCCUACGGGAGGCAGCAGUAAGGAAUAUUGGACAAUGGACGCAAGUCUGAUCCAGCCAUGCCGCGUGAAGGAUUAAGGUCCUCUGGAUUGUAACCUUCUUUUAUAAGGGACGAAAAAAGGUCUUUCUAGAUCGUCCGACGGUACCUUAUGAAUAAGCACCGGCUAACUCCGUGCCAGCCGCCGCGGUAAUAC
rnacentral:rRNA from 1 species